CCUACGGGAGGCAGCAGUGGGGAAUCUUGCGCAAUGCACGAAAGUGUGACGCAGCAACGCCGCGUGGAGGAAGAAGGCUCUCGGGUCGUAAACUCCUUUCAGUUGGGACGAAGCUUCGUCGGUUAAUAGCCGGCUGGAGUGACGGUACCUUCACAAGAAGCACCGGCUAACUACGUGCCAGCAGCCGCGGUAAUACGUAGGGUGCAAGCGUUGUCCGGAAUCGAUUGGGCGUAAAGAGCGUGUAGGCGGCCCGAUUAGUCCGCUGUGAAAGUCCAGGGCUCAACCCUGGAAUGCCGGUGGAUACUGUCGGGCUCGAGUCCGGAAGAGGCGAGUGGAAUUCCUGGUGUAGCGGUGAAAUGCGCAGAUAUCAGGAAGAACACCAACGGCGAAGGCAGCUCGCUGGGACGGUACUGACGCUGAGACGCGAAAGCGUGGGGAGCAAACAGGAUUAGAUACCCUGGUAGUCCACGCCGUAAACGAUGGGUACUAGGUGUGGGGGUGUCGACUCCCCCGGUGCCGAAGCUAACGCAUAAGUACCCGCCUGGGAGUACGGCCGCAAGGCUAAAACCGCAANAGAGUAGAGNGNGAGAGNGCGAGCGACGACGAGGAG
rnacentral:rRNA from 1 species